rnacentral:tRNA from 1 species
GGUAUUUGUAGUCAAGUGGUUAAGACAAUGGAUUGUGAUUCCAUAAACCGCGGGUUCAAUUCCCGUCUUUUACC